rnacentral:rRNA from 1 species
UUGAACGCUGGCGGCAGGCCUAACACAUGCAAGUCGAGCGCGAAAGGUUUUAGGACUGAGUAAAGCGGCGGACGGGUGAGUAACGCGUGGGAAUCUGCCCAGUAGUGGGGGACAACAGUCGGAAACGACUGCUAAUACCGCAUACGCCCUACGGGGGAAAGGGGGGGAUCUUCGGACCUCUCGCUAUUGGAUGAGCCCGCGUCGGAUUAGCUAGUUGGUAGGGUAAAGGCCUACCAAGGCUACGAUCCGUAACUGGUCUGAGAGGAUGAUCCGUCACACUGGAACUGAGACACGGUCCAGACUCCUACGGGAGGCAGCAGUGGGGAAUAUUGGACAAUGGGGGCAACCCUGAUCCAGCCAUGCCGCGUGUGUGAAGAAGGCCUUAGGGUUGUAAAGCACUUUCAGUGGGGAGAAAGGUUUGUCACCUAAUACGUGAUGAAAUUGAUGUUACCCACAGAAGAAGCACCGGCUAACUCCGUGCCAGCCGCCGCCGUAA